GCAGCCGCCACGGUAAUACGUAGGUGGCAAGCGUUGUCCGGAAUUAUUGGGCGUAAAGGGCUCGCAGGCGGUUUCUUAAGUCUGAUGUGAAAGCCCCCGGCUCAACCGGGGAGGGUCAUUGGAAACUGGGAAACUUGAGUGCAGAAGAGGAGAGUGGAAUUCCACGUGUAGCGGUGAAAUGCGUAGAGAUGUGGAGGAACACCGGUGGCGAAGGCGACUCUCUGGUCUGUAACUGACGCUGAGGAGCGAAAGCGUGGGGAGCGAACAGGAUUAGAUACCCCAGUAGUCCCUGUCUCUUAUAA
rnacentral:rRNA from 1 species